ensembl:miRNA Mir6393 microRNA 6393
GCCCUGCCCACGAAGCACACUGAGUGCAGUGGGCUGGCUAUCUAUCUCCUUAAUGAGUUCAUUUGUCACUCCAAGUGUCACUGUUGGCCUGACU